UACAGAGGUCCCAAGCGUUGUUCGGAUUUACUGGGCGUAAAGCGCGUGUAGGCGGCCCGGUAAGUCCGCUGUGAAAGUCGGGGGCUCAACCCUCGAAAGCCGGUGGAUACUGUCGGGCUAGAGUACGGAAGAGGCGAGUGGAAUUCCUGGUGUAGCGGUGGAAUGCGCAGAUAUCAGGAGGAACACCAAUAGCGAAGGCAGCUCGCUGGGACGGUACUGACGCUGAGGCGCGAAAGCGUGGGGAGCGAACAGG
rnacentral:rRNA from 1 species